rnacentral:rRNA from 1 species
CCUACGGGAGGCUGCAGUGAGGAAUAUUGGUCAAUGGGCGCGAGCCUGAACCAGCCAAGUAGCGUGAAGGAUGACUGUCCUACGGGUUGUAAACUUCUUUUAUCAAGGAAUAAAGUGUGGCACGCGUGCCCUUUUGUAUGUACUUUAUGAAUAAGGAUCGGCUAACUCCGUGCCAGCAGCCGCGGUAAUACGGAGGAUCCGAGCGUUAUCCGGAUUUAUUGGGUUUAAAGGGAGCGUAGAUGGGUUGUUAAGUCAGUUGUGAAAGUUUGGGGCUCAACCGUAAAAUUGCAAUUGAUACUGGAAGCCUUGGGUGCAGUUGAGGUAGGCGGAAGUCGGGGUGUAGCGGUGAA